AUGACGUCCUCGCGACGCCAAUCACCAUGCCGUCUUGCCGUGGACGACGCCCUCGCGGCGCCAAGUACCACGACCUCCUGCCACAUGCAGCAACCAUCUCUUGACGUGGAUGGCGGCGCCGAUCGCCACGCCGUCAACAUCUUGCGGCAUCGCACCGCAACCGGCCACCAGCGGCUUCACGCCACCGACAGGCUCCACCUUGCGCCGCCGUCCUCCACCUCACAUGGAGUAGGCCGCGCUGCCGUCGUCGCCUCGGAUCGACAAGGCUCUGAUGCCAAUUGUUGGCGCCAUCUCUCCUUGCAGCACCGCUUCUUCUUCUACCUUGAGCUGCCUCACACAACUCUCCAUCUCUCUCAAGCUACUCUUCUCCUCGGUGGCUUCCCACAAGAACACUCACACACACAACGCACGCAUAUACCAAGGAAGAGGAACGGCUUUGCCAGAGACACUCCCUUGGUGAACCACAAUGGCUACAUGGUUUCUCUGCUCAGCCCUCUCGGCCUCUUCUUUUGA
rnacentral:rRNA from 1 species